AUUGAACGCUGGCGGCAGGCCUAACACAUGCAAGUCGAACGAGUGGCGGACGGGUGAGUAAUGUCUGGGAAACUGGCUGAUGGAGGGGGAUAACUACUGGAAACUGUAGCUAAUACCGCGUACCAUAAGAUGAGCCCAAGUGGGAUUAGGUAGUUGUGGGGGUAAAGGCUCACCAAGGCGACGAUCCCUAGCUGGUCUGAGAGGAGGACCAGCCACACUGGGACUGAGACACGGCCCAGACUCCUACGGGAGGCAGCAGUGGGGAAUAUUGCGCAAUGGGGGCAACCCUGAUGCAGCCAUGCCGCGUGAAUGAAGAAGGCCUUCGGGUUGUAAAGUACUUUCAGUGGGGAGGCGUUACCCACAGAAGAAGCACCGGCUAACUCCGUGCCAGCAGCCGCGGUAAUAC
rnacentral:rRNA from 1 species